CUGGAAGACCCGCUUUUUCAAGGGCGAAGACCCCACAUUCUUGGAGGGCCUAGCUUUCCUCCGGGCCCAGCUCUACACUCACCUUACGCCUCUUCUCCCCGCGGGAGGUGAGGGGUUGCGGGGUCACAGGAGGAGGCGAGGGCCGGGCCAAUGUUCGUCCUGCCGCCCUACGUCCCCUAGGUCCUGCACCAGGGUUUUGGGGCCAAAGCAAGCAGUGCCUCU
rnacentral:lncRNA from 1 species